ensembl:lncRNA
AUUUGAUUUCUUAGGUAAUCCUUAUCAGUUAUUUACUUGAAACAAAUACAAAUUUCAAGCUUGGGAUGAUGGUGUUUUAUUUUCGAAAGGCAAAGCGUUUUGUUCCUAUAAGAAUUUUGAAGUGAAUUAUUCAUUGUUUUCUAUUUUGAAAGCGAGCAGCUCAGUAGCCAGAGAGUAGCAGAAAUGGUGCCGGCUGGAACAUUGGCUUGAGAGAAAAACAUUAGCUGAGGGAGGAGAAGGAUGUGUGUCACACAGAGAUAGAGCCUCAGGGAACUAAGAUGCCCACCUUGUGACCCCAGUCAGACUGAUGUCCCAAUGUUCUCCCUGCUGUCCUGUCAGUGAUGGAGUUGGGAGGCCGCGGAGACAGUGAGAUGGUCUUUGUCCUGUUGGAAGAUGAACUUUCUCCCCAGUCUGAGGUCCUGAGUGCUCUGGAGCAGGUUUUCAUCAA